ACUAUCAUUAACUGAAUCCAUAGGUUAAUGAGGCGAACCGGGGGAACUGAAACAUCUAAGUACCCCGAGGAAAAGAAAUCAACCGAGAUUCCCCCAGUAGCGGCGAGCGAACGGGGAGGAGCCCAGAGCCUGAAUCAGCAUGUGUGUUAGUGGAAGCGUCUGGAAAGGCGCGCGAUACAGGGUGACAGCCCCGUACACAAAAGCGCAUGUGCUGUGAGCUCGAUGAGUAGGGCGGGACACGUGGUAUCCUGUCUGAAUAUGGGGGGACCAUCCUCCAAGGCUAAAUACUCCUGACUGACCGAUAGUGAACCAGUACCGUGAGGGAAAGGCGAAAAGAACCCCGGCGAGGGGAGUGAAAAAGAACCUGAAACCGUGUACGUACAAGCAGUGGGAGCACCCUUUGGGUGUGACUGCGUACCUUUUGUAUAAUGGGUCAGCGACUUAUAUUCUGUAGCAAGGUUAACCGAAUAGGGGAGCCGGAGGGAAACCGAGUCUUAACCGGGCGUUAAGUUGCAGGGUAUAGACCCGAAACCCGGUGAUCUAGCCAUGGGCAGGUUGAAGGUUGGGUAACACUAACUGGAGGACCGAACCGACUAAUGUUGAAAAAUUAGCGGAUGACCUGUGGCUGGGGGUGAAAGGCCAAUCAAACCGGGAGAUAGCUGGUUCUCCCCGAAAGCUAUUUAGGUAGCGCCUCGUGAAUUCAUCUCCGGGGGUAGAGCACUGUUUCGGCUAGGGGGCCAUCCCGGCUUACCAACCCGAUGCAAACUGCGAAUACCGGAGAAUGUUAUCACGGGAGACACACGGCGGGUGCUAACGUCCGUCGUGAAGAGGGAAACAACCCAGACCGCCAGCUAAGGUCCCAAAGUCAUGGUUAAGUGGGAAACGAUGUGGGAAGGCCCAGACAGCCAGGAUGUUGGCUUAGAAGCAGCCAUCAUUUAAAGAAAGCGUAAUAGCUCACUGGUCGAGUCGGCCUGCGCGGAAGAUGUAACGGGGCUAAACCAUGCACCGAAGCUGCGGCAGCGACACUGUGUGUUGUUGGGUAGGGGAGCGUUCUGUAAGCCUGUGAAGGUGUGUCGUGAGGCAUGCUGGAGGUAUCAGAAGUGCGAAUGCUGACAUAAGUAACGAUAAAGCGGGUGAAAAGCCCGCUCGCCGGAAGACCAAGGGUUCCUGUCCAACGUUAAUCGGGGCAGGGUGAGUCGACCCCUAAGGCGAGGCCGAAAGGCGUAGUCGAUGGGAAACGGGUUAAUAUUCCCGUACUUGGUGUUACUGCGAAGGGGGGACGGAGAAGGCUAUGUUGGCCGGGCGACGGUUGUCCCGGUUUAAGCGUGUAGGUGUGUGUUCCAGGUAAAUCCGGUUCACUUUAACACUGAGGCGUGACGACGAGGCACUACGGUGCUGAAGCAACAAAUGCCCUGCUUCCAGGAAAAGCCUCUAAGCAUCAGGUAACAUCAAAUCGUACCCCAAACCGACACAGGUGGUCAGGUAGAGAAUACCAAGGCGCUUGAGAGAACUCGGGUGAAGGAACUAGGCAAAAUGGUGCCGUAACUUCGGGAGAAGGCACGCUGACACGUAGGUGAAGUGAUUUACUCAUGGAGCUGAAGUCAGUCGAAGAUACCAGCUGGCUGCAACUGUUUAUUAAAAACACAGCACUGUGCAAACACGAAAGUGGACGUAUACGGUGUGACGCCUGCCCGGUGCCGGAAGGUUAAUUGAUGGGGUCAGCGCAAGCGAAGCUCCUGAUCGAAGCCCCGGUAAACGGCGGCCGUAACUAUAACGGUCCUAAGGUAGCGAAAUUCCUUGUCGGGUAAGUUCCGACCUGCACGAAUGGCGUAAUGAUGGCCAGGCUGUCUCCACCCGAGACUCAGUGAAAUUGAACUCGCUGUGAAGAUGCAGUGUACCCGCGGCAAGACGGAAAGACCCCGUGAACCUUUACUAUAGCUUGACACUGAACAUUGAGCCUUGAUGUGUAGGAUAGGUGGGAGGCUUUGAAGUGUGGACGCCAGUCUGCAUGGAGCCGACCUUGAAAUACCACCCUUUAAUGUUUGAUGUUCUAACGUGGACCCGUUACCCGGGUUGCGGACAGUGUCUGGUGGGUAGUUUGACUGGGGCGGUCUCCUCCUAAAGAGUAACGGAGGAGCACGAAGGUUGGCUAAUCCUGGUCGGACAUCAGGAGGUUAGUGCAAUGGCAUAAGCCAGCUUGACUGCGAGCGUGACGGCGCGAGCAGGUGCGAAAGCAGGUCAUAGUGAUCCGGUGGUUCUGAAUGGAAGGGCCAUCGCUCAACGGAUAAAAGGUACUCCGGGGAUAACAGGCUGAUACCGCCCAAGAGUUCAUAUCGACGGCGGUGUUUGGCACCUCGAUGUCGGCUCAUCACAUCCUGGGGCUGAAGUAGGUCCCAAGGGUAUGGCUGUUCGCCAUUUAAAGUGGUACGCGAGCUGGGUUUAGAACGUCGUGAGACAGUUCGGUCCCUAUCUGCCGUGGGCGCUGGAGAACUGAGGGGGGCUGCUCCUAGUACGAGAGGACCGGAGUGGACGCAUCACUGGUGUUCGGGUUGUCAUGCCAAUGGCACUGCCCGGUAGCUAAAUGCGGAAGAGAUAAGUGCUGAAAGCAUCUAAGCACGAAACUUGCCCCGA
rnacentral:rRNA from 2 species